UCUCCGUAGGUGAACCUGCGGAGGGAUCAUUACAGAGUUCAUGCCCUACCGGGUAGAUCUCCCACCCUAUGUUAUUAUUACUUCGUUGCUUUGGCGGGCCGUUAGGCUCCGGCCCGACUACCGGCCCCGGCUGGUAAGCGCCCGCCAGAGGACCCAAAACCCUGAAUAUUAGUGUCGUCUGAGUACUAUAUAAUAGUAAAAACUUUCAACAACGGAUCUCUUGGUUCUG
rnacentral:misc_RNA from 1 species